rnacentral:tRNA from 1 species
CCUGUAGUUUAGUGGUAAAACCUCUGUCUUCCACACAGAUGUCGUCGGUUCGAUUCCGUCCAGGC